rfam:Neurospora crassa OR74A unplaced genomic scaffold supercont12.9, whole genome shotgun sequence.
AACUUUUAAUAACGGAUCUUUUAAUUCUAGUAUCGAUAAAGAACGUAGCGAAAUAUAAUAAAUAAUAUAAAUUAUAAAAUUUAAUAAAUUAUCGAAUUUUUGAAUAUAUAUUACGUUUGCUAAUAUUCUAGCGAGUAUGCCUAUUCGAAUAUUA